rnacentral:rRNA from 1 species
UACGUAGGUGGCAAGCGUUAUCCGGAUUUAUUGGGCGUAAAGCGAGCGCAGGCGGUUUGAUAAGUCUGAUGUGAAAGCCUUUGGCUUAACCAAAGAAGUGCAUCGGAAACUGUCAGACUUGAGUGCAGAAGAGGACAGUGGAACUCCAUGUGUAGCGGUGGAAUGCGUAGAUAUAUGGAAGAACACCAGUGGCGAAGGCGGCUGUCUGGUCUGCAACUGACGCUGAGGCUCGAAAGCAUGGGUAGCGAACAGGAUUAGAUACCCUGGUAGUCCAUGCCGUAAACGAUGAGUGCUAGGUGUUGGAGGGUUUCCGCCCUUCAGUGCCGCAGCUAACGCAUUAAGCACUCCGCCUGGGGAGUACGACCGCAAGGUUGAA